GGUGAGAUGGCCGAGUUGGUUAUGGCGCCAGGUUAAGGUCCUGGUCACGUAAUGUGGCGUGGGUUCGAGUCCCACUCUCAUCA
rnacentral:tRNA from 1 species